rnacentral:tRNA from 1 species
GCGGAUGUGGCGAAAUGGUAGACGCGCUACUUUGAGGGGGUAGUGGGAGUUAUCCUGUGCGAGUUCGAGUCUCGCCAUCCGCA